UUUCCGUAGGUGAACCUGCGGAAGGAUCAUUAUUGUAUAACCGAGGUGCGAGGGCUGUCGCUGACCCGAAAGGUCGUGCACGCCCGAGUGCCCUCACACACAUCCAUUUCACCCCUAUGUGCACCACCGCGUGGGUCCCCCUUUGGCUUGUUCGGAGGGGGGCUUACGUUUUCACACAAACUUUGUAUGCAGUGUAGAAUGUAUUUUUUGUUUUUGCGAUCACGCAAUCAAUACAACUUUCAACAACGGAUCUCUUGGCUCUCGCAUCAAUGAAGAACGCAGC
rnacentral:misc_RNA from 1 species